CUUCAAUUCUUGGAUCCCAUACCAAAGAUGUAGAUGAGUGUCCAUUGAUAGUGGAAAAAGAAAAACUCCAGCUUAAUAUAAAACAAAGAUUUGGGCAAAGGAUGGUUAUCCUGCUCUUAUUUUUUCUGACGUGUGCGUGAGGAGGUCUUGCAGACCAGCACAAGAAAUUCAGUGAUAUGGAUCACAAGGAUUAUGAAUGCAAAUUGAAUAUAGAGACAAAGUAGUAGAUGACAUCAAGGAAAAGCCACCAAACAUCUGCUUAGAAGAAGACCAGCAUCUGCUAAAAACAACCAAAGACAUAUUUGGUCACCUGCAGGGUGACCAAACCCUUGCACUGCUCUACAAUGCUGCAAUAGCUCCAUUAUCCUGCCUGGUUUUGCUAGAGGAAAUUAAAAGAAGUGAGCAUCAAAAUUUUAAAGGUAUGAAGAGGGUAUGCAUUCCCUCCCUGUAGCAGUUCUAAACACUGUAGAAAAAAAGCAGCAGAUCUGCAAGAAGAGGUAGAAAGCUCUGCUGUAUUUACAUAUAAUGAUGUGAGUAAGCAUAAAGACACCACACACAAACAGAAGACAUGAACAAAAAGAUAGCAUAUUUUGGAAGAGAUGAUCUGUGUGUGAAAGAAGUUCUAGACACACUGGGCAAAUCCCAGUAAACAUUGAGAAAGUCAAGAAACAGAAAAAUUACUGAUUUGUAUUGUUUUGCUAAGAACUGACAUUCUGUGUGGCAUCUAAAGAAAAACAAAUGUGCACAAAACCUCUGCAAGCCUGUUGGCAACAUAUUUUUUUCUUGCAAAUCUAUGAGAACAGCAACUAUGGGUUCCUGGGAAAUGUGUAUCUAAGGCAGUCAGCGAUGAACCCAGAGCCAAGGGAAGCUCAGCUAUGAUGUGCCAUGUCUGGAAAAUGACACCAAUACCUUUACAAAGCAUUUUUGAAAGGACAAGUGUUGUCAGGACAUCCCUUGCAGAGCAAGGAAAGCUUGCAAGCAAAAAAGUGUACUGUGAUGGGCAUCCAGCUGGGAAGAGAUAUGAGUGCUAUAGAUACAGUUCUUAACCUUUCCUUUGUUAAAUUUAUAGUUUGAGCUCCCUCAGUCCCUCACAGUCCUUUAAUAAUUCUCCUGGCUUUCCUUUAAUCCUCUCCAAUUUAUCAAUGCCCUCUCUGAACUGAGGGAUCGAAAGUCACAGCCACACAAGGAAAUGCAGAAGCAGCAUGAUUCAUUUCUACUCAAUAUUUUCACGUUUAUAUCUCACAUUUGCUUCUUUUGCUCUGAAAUUGUACUGAGUGUUCAUGUUUGGUGUGACUUCUUACAUCUUUUUAAGAGCAGCCACUUUUCAAGGCAGAACUUGUCAGACUAGAAUCAGCUUCUACUCACACAUAAAUAGACUGAAAAUUGAGUCGACUGCACUGAAUUACAAACUGUAUAUUUAUUAUAUGUUUACUAAGUAACCCACAUUUCCCUUGUGAAUACGAUUUUUUUGUCAUUCCUUUAUGUGAGUGUACAUGCAUAAGCUGUAAAUUCAAUCAAGAGUGGUUUUGUUUCCAACCCAUUGAUAACAAUAUUAAAUAGUAAAAGGCCAAGAACUGAUCCUUGCAGACCUCAGACAUCAGUAAGAAAGCAGUGUUUAAUCAAUAUGAACUGUUCCACUGAUUUUCUAUCAUCUGGUUUCUUAAUCAAAAUGUCUUGUACUAAACCAAACAAUUUACAGAAAUGGAAAUGGUAAAUUGCACUAUCAGUGUUAUCAAUGAAACUUGUAAAAAGCCAGGCUGCCUAGUAUUUUUCUCAAUCAACGUCACAUUAAUUUGAUAAGUACAUAUUUAUACUAAGAAUGCCAAACCAGCUAGAUGCUGAGCAUUCAGGAGUUCACAUACAAAAUUCAGCACGACAACCAUGCUCAAUCAUCAUUAGAACUUUCAGGCAAAAAGAAGACAUAGACAUCAAUCAUCCGACAGUCCUUCUGAAGUAUAUCACUUUCCCCUAUUAGUCUCAAGUCAUGUUGUGACUAACACAUAGAGAGUUAUUAACCUCAACUUAAAGAAGAGGAAGAUAAUAAAAUUACUACAGAUAAUUCAACUAAUUUUUGUGUGUAUUUACUAAUUCAAAGAAAUAUACCUUAAAGGAGAUAUACGUGGUAAUUUCUUCCAAAAAUGAUACUUCUUGCACCUUAGGAAAAUGCCAUCACCCUCAAGAUUAUAUACUGUUUAAAUUUUGGAUAGUGAUGACAUAAAUACUGAAGCAAAAUGAAAUUUCACUUGACAUUGUCUACCUAGCCAGACCAGAAGUGUCUCAUUUCUUAGUGGAAGGAAAUGGCAUCUUGUACAGUCAGAUGUAUAAUGCUUGCACUGUCAGAUUAUUUAUUCCCAAGUGUCCUUAGCUAUGCUCUCAUUGAAGUAAGUGCAAAACUAAGAGGAUAUUCUUGAGCACUUGAAUACUUACAUGCAUGUAUUAUAUGUAUUCAUACAUAUUCCUUUGAUAAGGGCCAUAUAACAAUUUAAGAAAGAAACUGCCAGGGAAAUGGAUAUUAAUAUGCAAAAAUACACUGAAAAUAAAUAUAAUCACUGUAAUCUAGAAAGCUGGAUAUUGUGACAUUAUAGUGCCUAUCAAAUUUUAAAUGACUGCAUGUUAUGAGUACAUGAUGUGAUUAUAAUAUCUGUAUUUGUGAAAAAACUGAAAAUCAAUCUUUGUGGAAACUAACAUUGUCAAAAUUAGUGAUUACAGUAUAGAAAAUAUCAAGACAGUACUAAUGUUACGGACCUGAACAAGACUAGUGCAUGUAAAUAAAUGUUCCUCUUUAAAUAUACUCAUCUGUAACUGAAUUUUUUCUUUAGCAAAAUUAAACAAUGCAAACCUAUCUGCUAGAAUAUUGUACUCAUUUUGUACUUACACAAGUUUCUCCAUGUGGUGAUUGAUAAAGGAAAUAAGUCAUGGAUUAUCUUUUCAUUUAUGUUACUUUAAGUAGAAAUAUAUUCCUCGUAGUGAAGCUUCACACUUCACCGAACCACUGAUCUCAUAUCU
rnacentral:lncRNA from 1 species